rnacentral:pre_miRNA from 1 species
GAGACACCCUUAUGGAGCAGGACUUGCUUCAGUGGGGCUCUGGUGCUGACUGAAUCUGCCCUUUGAGUAUGUCGCU